rnacentral:lncRNA from 1 species
UGUAGUAUAGAACACGAUUAAGGCCCCUCAGUGAACUAGAAGAAAUAUAUCAUCACGGGUAUUUUUCUGAUUGAUCUCAAAAUCAUAUCUCAUAUUCCAAUUUACAAUGUAACGUAUACAAUUUUUGAAAUUCCACAUGUAUCAUAAUAAAAGAUAUUUUCAUAAUAACCAUGUAAUUCAAACACAUAUUUGCAUAUAAUUACACAUACUUUAACAAUAAACUUAAUUUAUAAAUACUUUAAAAUAUUUAUAUUUUUCCACUCACAGUACUAUGUUCGCAAAAUCAAUCAAGUUGGUAAACUGUUGUGAUGUUAGUAUCGUCGCCUGAAAUACGAUAUAAUUUUUAAAUAAACAAUUAAUUAUUUUAAAUAAUUUCAAUAAUUAAAUAGGUUAUACUCAAACUUAAUCAUUUCACGUUUAAGCGAUUUCUACAAUCUCUUUAAUCACUAAAACUAGUUUUUCUUUCAUUUUAUUCAAUUUCAUAGUUUAUUAUACUUAACCCUUUCAAUAAAAUUGAAUUUAGUCUAACAAUAUAACAACUAUAAAAUCAAAUAUAACUUAACAAUAAGUAACUUUUUACCUACCUUUCAAAAUUGAGGAAUUCAAACCUAAUAAUGUAGACCACUUAAUUUUCAACACGUUGGUANNNNNNNNNNNNNNNNNNNNNNNNNNNNNNNNNNNNNNNNNNNNNNNNNNNNNNNNNNNNNCCCCCCCCCCUUUUUCUCUCUCUUCUCUUUCUCGUUCUCUCUGACUCUCUAUAUAUAUGGAAAUGAAAUGGGUUUGUUUCAUUUGUGUGAAUCACCGCCUGACCCCUUUUUUUUUUGGCUUGGCUUGACAAUUUUGACUUUUCCUUAUUAUUAUUAUUAUUAUUUUAAGGUGUUACAACCUAGUAGAAACUAUAAUAAAUAAUAUGCACGCUAAAAGGAGGCACUUGGAAUCAAUUCGGAACCAGCGACUAAAAUUGAAUCGUUCACCCAAUUUAAAUUGAAUAAAUCUAGCGUUUCUGGAGAUGUGAGUAGAAUCAGUUCAAAUAUGUUUAAAUUUUCUUCUUACGUUUUUUAUACUGUAUCUAAAGGAUUAAUUAAAUCAAUGAGUGCAAACAUCAAGGAAUAAACCAGGGAUUGUCCAGUUGAAGAAGAACAAGAAAGUAACUCAAAAAUAGCAACGAAGAAUUAAAAGCGACCAAUAGUGGAGGGAGUGGCAUCUCUGAGGAUGACUGCAAUGGUUCUCAAGAACUAAAUGAAGGGGAAAACUUAAGACAGUCAAAAAUCAAAUGGAAAAGCAAGAGCUAGCAGGGGUUCUACAACUUAUCCUCAAAGUCUUUAUGCAAGGGUAGGUAAUAACUUGACAUGAUCGGAAUAAGGUUAUAUACAUUCUCAACGAGUUGUUCAAGGGUUUCUGAUAUCAUUUUAUCCAAUUUUGCAGAGAAAAAGAGAAAGGAUUAAUGAGAGAUUGAAAAUCUUGUUGAACCUUGUCCCAAAUGGAACAAAGGUAAAUCAUUAAAUGAAACUCUAUCAAACUAAUGUUCUUCCAAAAUCUAGAGGGUAGUAUCAAAGAUGGCUUCGCCCUUGUUUGUAUCACAAAAAAUUACUUGUAAAUUAUAAAGAAAUGAAUUACAGGCAGAUCAUUGAAUGAAAUUCAUCACCUUGAAAUUAAAAUCAGAACAAAUAUUAAAAUAAAUUUUUUACAAUACCAACUCCAAUUUCACUCCCCUAAGCAUAAUGUCACAAUUGAUAAAGCCCAUUUUAAUAAAACAAAAUUUUUUUGUAGUUAAUUCUACUUUUUUUUUCUUCAAAAAAGUAAACUAAAAUUAUCAUGAAAACUUCACAAUCCGCCAACAACUACAUUCAGUUCAAAAUGGGGAAACAAAGAAAAUAAUUAAAACUAUACUAAUCAAGCAUCAUUAAAAACGUAAAAUUUCUGUUUGAAAAAAGAUAUAUUCGAAUAAUUAAUUAAAGAUUAAAACUUUCAUAUAAAUCCAAUGGUUCAUAUUAAACAAAUUCUUUGAAUUUCAGAAAAAUCAAUAAAAGCACCAGAUUUAUUUAAAAAAAGCCAAAAAAUUAAUUGAAGAUUAAAACAAAGCUGAUAGGAAUACCUUUAAGACUGCUUGCAGAACACAAAAUUUGUACGUAGUAGAUUAAGCCGAAAUUCAUUGACCAAAAAUAAUGUGGUGGCAGAUGAAGAGAUUGGGACUGCAAGCAAAUUGAAUUAAUUAGGUUUUGGUAGCAAUCAAUGAUGAGAUUAAGCCAAAAAGCGAGAAUAAUUUUUGGUGAAAUUUCUGGAGGCAAAUAAAGGGGAAUGUAUGUCGUGCGUUUAGAUUUUAGAGUGGGUAUGCGAG